CGCUGUAGCUCAACUGGUAGAGCAACUGACUUGUAAUCAGUAGGUUGGGGGUUCAAGUCCUCUCGGCGG
rnacentral:tRNA from 1 species